GCCCAUGUAGCUCAGGGGUAGAGCACUCCCUUGGUAAGGGAGAGGUCGGCAGUUCGAAUCUGCCCAUGGGCACCA
rnacentral:tRNA from 10 species